UCAGUGACCGUCCCCCUCCCCCAGGACUGGGGACUCCAGCAGGGCUGAGAGGACUGGGUGCUGCCAUCUUGUGACUAUGGGCACCGCCAUCUUUGUGAUGGAGUGACAGAAGAAAAGCACCACUGAUGUACCAGCACCACCGAAAAUCACUCCCAUUUCACCCCAUCAGCACUGCUCCUUCGACCAGUCCCAAGCCUGACCGAGUUGAGGAGGGAAUUUGGACACCAAAGACACCAUGGAAAUGCCCACACAGAGCAAAGACCAUGUGAGGACACAGCAAGAAGGUGCCAUCUGCAAACCAAGAAGAAAGGUCUUAGAAGAAACUACAUCUGUCAACAUCUUGAUCUUAGACUUCUAGCCUCCAGA